GCUCCAGUGGCGCAAUCGGUCAGCGCGUGGUACUUAUAAUGCCGAGGUUGUGAGUUCAAGCCUCACCUGGAGCA
rnacentral:tRNA from 1 species